CACAGAGUCAGGCGGUUGGUUGGAGUGAGGGAGGCUACCCGAGGGCGGCCGCGGAGGGCGAGGAGUUUAGGACAAUGUCUGGAAUAUAUUUGGUAGCCAAUACGUAUUGGGAGUGAGUGAAGGAAAGAAGACCUUAUUGCAACGACAAUUGGAGGGAUAAUGGGAAUGGUCUGCACUACUUUUACCGGUCAACAUCUAAAUUUAGGAGAUUGCAUAUAUGUACACACAAAAAUCUGUCUUCUCUUGAAAAAUUAGAAGAUUUGGCAAUAUUGGGUCUGCAUGGUGAGUUGUUUGAAGUAGAAUAGUGGCUGCCCAUUUAAAACAGUCGACAAAUGUAAUUAAAGAAAACAGCCUAGAUGCCCUAUGAAAUAAACCACUGGAAGAACAAAGACCAGGGAUGUGGAAGAGAUGUGAUCAAAACCUAAUGCACUGCCAAGAGAACUGAAAUGUCAACAAGCAGAAAUUGCUUUCUGCUGGAAGUUAAAAAUGGAAUACAUCACAGACGCAGAGCUCACCACCUGUAAGCUGGAUCUCCUCCUAGGGUUUGGACCACAGAGUGUUCCAGGUGCUGUUUGAUGAACUGGACACAUAACACGGCAGUCUCCUCACGGCAGGUUAUGCUGUUUUAAUUCCUGACUUGUCUGGAAAGCCACGGGCUCUACCUGGAAGGUUGCUCGAGGCUGGAAAAAGACCUUUUAGGCUGUAAAACCAAAGGCAAUGAUGGGGUGAGAGAAAAUCGCUUUUCAGGGUCCCUUGCAGAAUCCGGCUCGUUGAAUAAACCUGGUACAAGAUGAUUUUGGGGGAGAGGGGAUUUCAAAAUUCUACUGAUUCGCCCCAUGAACUAAAAAGACCCUCUUCCUAGAAGGGGAGAGGCGGCUGAGUGCUGAGCCGUCUGCACCCGGAGGCCGAGCAGUGGGGAGGCCUCCGGAAGCCCGUGGUUUUCCCUAUUUUCUCAGGAACACCGGAUGAUUUUUCUCUUACCUAGACAUUUGUGGGAGGAGGUAGAGGAAGGGAAGAAGAAAAAAGAGUGGGAAAAGGCUGGAAGGACCCGGACUGAAUUACUGGCACUCACAUAGGGAAAAAGAAGUAGACGGUCUUUCCAGUCUGUGCUGGCAGGAAAAGCCAGGGCAUAUGGCUCCACAGGAAGGGGUGCAGCUCACACCUCUGCAGCUCCGAAUCCAACCAACAUGCUUCCCAACGUGUAAAUGUAUGGCUGCCCAAACCCAGAAACCAUCGCCAGAAAACUUCCGUGGGCUUCUUGAGGACACCAAGGAGAUAGCGAAACCCCAGUUUGUCCCCUUGUGACUGGACAAGCCUGCUUCCUUCACUCCUGGGACCUGCAACACAGUGGACCAGGCCAUAGACGAAGACUAAAAACUUCAAGACCCCACGUCUAUGAUCCCCGUGAUGGAGAGCAUUGUUUUCUGUUUGGACAAGUGUAAGCCACUACAUUUCUGAACAGGAGUGGCCUGAUCUGGGCCAUCCCUGAAGAAGGCGAUGCUU